GUAUACAUAAAUGUAAGCUACUUAUACACCGUGCGAAUACACUGUAUGGGACCGGCACAUGCUUGUCAACAUUAAUAUCGAAAAUCUAAAUGAAUCUACCCCUAUACAUGUGUAUAUAAACGAUGUUGAACAAAGCAUGUUUUCUCAUUCUCGGGAUGUACCGGACCCUUUGGAAUUUAGCAGUCAUCUUAACUGGACAAACUGAUCAUUCUUGUGCGUCAGUCGUACUAUUAAUAGAUCGAUUGAGUCUUAAUUAUUUGUUUACGUUUUAUAUGGGAUUUCUGUCUGUCAGACCAGAGUUAUGGUCCUUGAUCAAGUCAAAAAUAUGUAUAAAGGACAUUAAAGUUUGUGUCACAUGUAUCUCAAAAAGUAUUAAACUUAAAGUCGUAACACAUUUGGGGAAUAUUAUAUAAUAUGUUAGCUGUUGGUGUUCCCUUUCGGAUUCCACUCAGCCAGACAAGAGUUAUUAUCCUUGACUUGUUUGAUAUUUGUCCUUGAUUUUUUUGUUAGUGGAGGUAGUGGUGGUGAUGGUUCCAGUAGCUAGCAACAUUCGUCAGCACAUCAGCAUCAAAUACAAUAUAACGCUUGAGGGCAAUUCUCGGAUAGAUUAUAAGGAUCUUACAUGCCUGCCUGUGUAAGACAGUCAGGUUUUUCCCUACCCGAGGGUAAAUGUGAAUGAAACACCGAGCGUUAGCGAGGUUUUAUAUCCAAGCUGUCCUGACGGUCGGCGAAGGCCGGGAAGAUAGCUGCCUUACACAGGCAGAUAUGUUGGAUCAUUUUAUCAUUUUUCAUGCCUAUCUUGUGAUGACGAAUAGAUUUGUGUAUUUCCAGGCAUUAUUUAUAUAGAUCUAGUUUAUGACAUCAUAAUAGUGCCAGUUCUAUGUGACUUCACCUGAGUGCACGCUAUUUUAGACAAGGUUUUUCCCUAGGGAAAUACAGGAAUAUCUAUCACCGGCGCGUGCUCGGACAAAUGUAUACUUUCCCCGCUAGGUAGGCAAGAAAAUGACUUUUCCAUGGGCCGUCAGAAAGUCAAUGAAUGCAUUCUAUAUCGCUUUGGUGUGAUUACCAUGCCUGAAUGCAACUCCCGUGUAGAUAAUGACUUUUCCAUAAUGUGACGUGCGUGAUGUAUAACCAUGCAUUUAGGGUCCGCCACCAAGUGCAAAAACGAAAUAUUAGAAACUAAAAUAGAUCUGAAAAAUAAUAAUUUAGUUGCGGGAGUUUGAUCAUGCAUUAUAGUAAAAGUAAUGACUGUUUUUCAUUAAUCAAUAUUGUAUCAUUGUAUCAUUAAGAUAAAAUAGCUAUUUUUAAUUACAUGUAUUAAUAUAAAGAAACUACUUUUAUUUAUAAGUAGAAUAACUAUAUUACUAGCAUUAAGGAGUGACCUGUCGCUUUUAUUAAUAGAUUUGAAAGGUUACUAGAAUAAACCACUUCAGUAAAGGGGUACCCUACCUUUUUGUAACUUAUUUUAUAAUAAAUAUUUAAAUGACUGCCGCUUCGACAAUUAGACGCCGUGGUGCCGUGGUGCCGCGGUAAGCGUGACGGCUCUUGAAUCUAACUUUUGUGAGUUCGAAUUCCAACGGUGAUCAAUAUUUUUUUUCUUUUUUAUUUUAAUUUAUUUAUUUUCAUUUUAUAUUUUGGUAACAUACAUUUAAAAUGAUAAUCAUGUUAAAGAUGUAUUUGAAUUGCAUUACUUGUAUCAUAAUGCUAGUUUUGCAUAAUAAGGUUUUUCAAAUAUUUUUUUGAUUGUGAAUUAUUCAACAUGGUUGACAUAGCUCUUGACAAUUUUGUCAUUCAAUUAGCUGAUGACACUGAUUUGGAGGAAACCGACGCCGUCAGCGAGUGUGAGGAUGCUCCAUUGGGCGCGUGUGUUUGAAAUGUUAUGAAUGUUUUGAAAGUGUAUGAAUGAAAUAAGAACUGAAAUUGAAAUGAUGAAAUAAAAUGAAAUUUAAAAAAAAUAUGCAAAAUAUAAAUAAAACAAAUUCAAUCAUAAAACAAUCGCCCUUUGUGGGAUUCGAACCCACAGCCUCUUAAUCGCAAAAAGUUAAAUCAUUAUCAAGAUGCUUCAAUUCUACCAAAUGAGCUAUCAACGCAAUUUCAAUCCGCCUAGUAUUCAAAAUAUAUUUACAGUUUUAAAUAAGUCAAAUAUCUUUCAAACCCUUAUUUAAUAAAUGGAACAGUCUGGAAAAUCCAAAUCUAAAAAUAAAAGCGACAGGUCACUCCUAAUUGCUAAUAAGUUUUGUUGUAACUAAAAAUAAACAAUGAUCUCAUUCUAAAAAUAGAUCGACGCAUGCACAUUAAGAACUAGUACAUUUACCACUGGAGUCAUUUUCUCGUGGUGGUUCGAGGAUGAACAUAUAUGAUGAGGACUUUCCUAGUUUAUUUUCCAGUUAGGAGAAUCUGCUUAUUUUAAACAUGUUCCUUUAUCUAAAAUAAAUUCUUUUUCUAUACAUGUAUAUUAUCUGAAGAAAGGCUUACUCUUAUUUCAUUUAUAAUAAUUAUGUUAUUAUGUAUAUAUUUAACUUUUAAAAGAACCACAAUGUUACAUUUAUGAUAUUAGGACUGACCCUCAAUGUCCGCGAACAACGGCCCGAGAUAGGGUAUUCGAGUCAGCUCCGUAUACUUCUGCGACAAUCUCAUUACCUAUAUUUAGAACGCAAGGCCGUUAUAAAGAUCAAUAUGUCAUCCUAACGAUCGUUUCUUUUUGUUACAUCGUGAAGUCAUUCUUUAAAUAAAAUGAUGAUGUCAUUCAAAAAAAAAAGAUACAAAAUGGCCGCCACGCAUUUGCUAUGUUGUUAUUCUCGGUCAUGCGCAGUCAUGAUGCCAAACCGCCUUAACUACUAUUGUUACAUACAAAAUUUUUCUACUGGACUUAAGAUUUUUAUGUACGAGCUACUAGAUGCACUGUUUGAGAAAAAUUGAGAAAAUACCCUUUUCCAAUAAUCCUUUCAUAUGAUAUUCUUUGUAGCACACUACAAUACAACAUCUGCUACAAAAAAUUCUAUAAACAUUUUAAAGAAAUCGGCAUUUUAUUUCAAAUUUGAUAUGCAUACAAAUAAUGUUUAAUUUUACAUUACAUUAUAUACUUGUAACACAAUGAUAGCUCGCAGGUCAGUUUUCAGUUAAUUCAUCAUUGUGUGUAUUUUAUCUAUUAUUGAUUUUGGUAGAUAAUCCUGAUAAUUCUUACAAAUGAUACGAAUUCUGUUUACAUGCGUAGGUCAUUGUUGGUAUUUACUACUCAAGCAAUUUUCGUAACAUCGGAGUGUUUUAUCCAUUACGUUUUGGCCUAAAUGACUUUGUUUACUAUUAUUACCGAUCAGAUAUUGCGAAAUUCUCAAAGAAAUUGAUUUGGUCAGCCUUAAUUACUUUAUUUUUGUUUUCGAUGGAAUUUUCAUUAAUUGGCCAGAAAUGUUAAUUACUUUGUUUACCUGUUCAGUAUAUUGUUGUUGUUUACAAUUUAUACAAAAUGAAUCACCGUUGAAUGUUUUAUCUAUUAGAUUUGACCCUAAUUAUUUUGUUUGUUUCGGUAACAGUCAUUUAUUUACGGAAAUACACAAUGGUGAUUGAUUCUACAUCUGUUGUUUACUAUUAUAUGAGUACUUAAUGGACGUUUUGAUUGACAUGUUUUUGAAAUUGCUUUGAAUAUUUUGAAAUACUUGUAAACAUGUUAUUGCGUUUUAAUUCGUGAAAAAGGUAUAAAUACUCAGAAUAUUAACAGAAGAGAGGAGAAUGGGGAGAGGAGGACUGAGUCAAGAAAAGAUAGGACUGAGUUAAGAAUCAGGAAGUUAGAAAUGUUUUACAAAAAUGGGAUCGGAUAAUUGGCAGUUCGGAUCGGUUCAGAUCAGCUCGGUUAAGUUCGAUUUUUUGGGCUCGGGUUUAAGAGCGGGUUAAAAAUAACUGUGGGAGUUUUAGAAUUGACUAUUAUGUCAUAGAACUUUUGGACUUAAGAAUAAAAAAUUAAUUAAAAGUUUGACGCGGGAAAAUACUAUUUAAAAAGCUGAUGUAUUUAUACCUGAAUUGAUUGUUAGUAUAGUUGACGUCUGUAUAACCUUGUAAAUAAAACCGAGUGUGAAAAAACUGCUGACUUUCUAAAUCUAUGCAACCAGUGGUGGUGUUACAUACUGUACUAUUUAAUUUACUAUGACUGAUAAGCUUAGUUAACAAACAACUAAUCUUUCUAUCUUCUUGACUGAUUGAAGACUGGUAUCGCUGUCAGUUUCGAAAGUAUGUGUGUUGUUGUCAUUGUGUACCUCGGAGGAGGUCAUCAAUGCAUUUGUCCAUUUACAGCAUAUGACAGAGAAAUCAUAGAAACAGCUGUUUGGCAAACAAUCACACACUAAACUCGACAACAAUUCUAGUUCCUAAAGGACUAUCAUAGCAUUUUAUGUUAAAGGUCACCACACGCUGUGUCAUUUUAUAACACUUUUCGCAUGCACGGAUACUAAACAGUGCAUGCGGUACCGCCUGCGCCGACGAGGAUUGAAGGCACUUCGCUUCCGGUACCACAGGCACUUCGCCAAUGUUUACAAAACAAGUGAGAUCGAUAUGAAAACACAUUAGAAAUACCAACAGUAAAAACAGUCAGGCCAACACUGUGUUUCAUAGCUAAAAGAUGCUUUCCUGUUGGACAACACCUAAUUCCUCCAUAGUCGCACUGGCGAUAUUUGAUAGAACAAAUCUGUAUAGUUAAUGUUUAUAAGGUACUGUGCGACAUUAUCUUGUUAAUAUCACACGGACGCAAUUGGAUACAAACAGUAUAAUUUUUAAAACCGCGCCAUUGUCGUUUACAUUCGAGUAUAUUUGAAACAUGUUUGAUGUAUUUUCUUUCGUGAUAAAGCAUGUUCCUUAUAUAUACAUACA